rnacentral:lncRNA from 1 species
CGGGGUUGUAUGUAUCGCUUGACCAGCAGCGACCCGAGCUCAUGUUUAGAAUUUUGGCCAGCAGCUUUGGGUCAAGCCCUAAUCUGAUUCCAAGAUUCAUAGUCUCAGCAGUUCCAAUCAUACUGAUGGCCAAAAGCAUGUUGUUACAAAUCUUUGCAGCCUGUCCAGUUCCAACCUCUCCACAGUAGACUACAUUGGAACCCAUGCAUAUUAGCAACUCUUUGGCAGCAUCAAAUUCCUGUUCCAUUCCACCAACCAUGAAAGUAAGGUUUCCAGCUCGAGCAGCUCCAACACCUCCAGAAACUGGUGCAUCCAUGAAAACAGCUCCCAUUUUUUCAACUGCUUUAGCUAAUUCUUUCGAGACUGAAGGGUCUAUAGUACUGGAAUCUAUUAAUAAU